rnacentral:lncRNA from 1 species
GUCUCAGCUCGCAGACCACCUCAAAACAGUGAACACCGACGCGGAAGAGGUCAACCAGAAACACAAGAAACCUGCAAAUCUCAACAGAUUUGGACACCAACAGAGACUCAAAAAUAAUCCUGCAAAUCUCAACAGAUUUGGAAAGCGGUCAGAGAAUCAAGUAUCUAGAGAACUUCUACACACGACAUCAACCAAAUAUCAGCAGCGCCAGCACCAAACACCACCCAUCACCACCGUACAUGUCAACUCCACCAAAGCCACCACAAUCAAGACCAUCAAACAAGACCCCACCCAACAAGUACCAAAGUCAGCGACUCCCCCACCCCUUGAACUAUGAAAACACCAAAUCACCACCACAACAAUUG